UUUGUAGAACUUAAUAUUUUCUAAUAUUUGCCUUUUAUGAUCCACAAAUGCAAUUACAAUAUAGCACCAUCUCUUCAAGAAAGCUUCUUUUAAUUCAAUAGUUCAUGAGAUAACUAUCUUUUCUUGACGCCUCAUUCGAAAAAAUAAUAAUUCCAAUUACUUUCUUGAAACGGAUACACCCAAUGGAUUGGGUGGGGCAGCCGGAGGCGGUGGAAUUUUCCUGGCCGGCAUGGCCAUUGUCGGAGUCGUCUUUGGUGUUCCCUGAUAUCUCAUGACUCAGGGUGAGUUCCUCUUUCAAAUCUCUACUUCUAUUUUCGUAUUUCAUCCCUUUAUUUGAAUUUGGGGUUGAAUUUUUGGUUGUUUUAAUUAGUGGACAUUGAGAGUAAUUCUGGAUUUUUUUCUUUCUUACAAACUAUUUACACCGGCAGUGAUUUUUAUUUAGAUUUUGAUACCUCAUAGGUGAAUGUUUUGAGAAUUUGAGUAAGCAAUAGUACUAUUGCAUUUGAUUUCUAAAAAUUUGUAAGAAAUAAAUUGAUAUUUCUCUACAAGGAUUUCUUCUUUUUGCCUUUUGAUUUAGUUGUUUUCUUUUUUCUUUCUUCUCUGCUUUUCACCUCGCAUUUUCUCUAAACACCUGAAGAAUCAGGCUUCCACUCUAAUAUAUGCGUUUAUUUCUAGAAAACACAAUCAUGGCAUUUUUGUGAUGAGUUCAUUAGGAAACACAAUCAUUGCAUUUUUGUGAUGGUGGUCGAUCAGUUCGGCUACUUUUAUGGUUUUAUAGAGUGGCAAGAUUCGGUUUUGGUUUGAAGUUUUCAUCUAGGUGCUAAUAUUUUGAAUGCUCAUUUUUCCUGGAAUUCAAGAACCAAAUGGAGAAAUUAAGAGGGAACAGAAGUUCGAUGUAGAACUGAUGGUGAUCGAGUAUUUUAAAUUCGUUAACAAUGGUGCACUGAGAAUGGUGGUGCGUUGAGAAUUAUAUUUGGUGGAAAUACCAUAUCCUUUGGACUUAAUUUGUUUUGUUUCUUUUAAUGUGUUUCAGAAUAAUUCUUAAUGUCCUUUCCACAAUAUGGAUUUGUUAUACCUGCAAAUCUGAUCGAGGUUUUUUAAUUUGUAUUCUAAUAAAAAAUCUCUUUUGUCUUUUUAUGUGUAGUGGGUAGUCCAAAGUUAUUUUUAAGCUACUGUGAAAGGUGUUGAAUGAGAUUUUGAAGGUAAAUUAUUUAUAUUCAAUUUGGAGUGUCUUGUCUUGAUUAUAUAUGUUUUUGGUGAGCCAUUUGAUAAAACAUGAAGAAAAAAAAAUGGCAAAUACUAGAAAUCCGCAUUUUUGGGCUCUUCUGUUAUCCAAUUAGUCAUCCUGAUUAUGUAGUUGAGAUAGUAUGAUCCUCACCACAUGAAAUAUUUUAUCGUCAAGAGUUGGUUAGGCCAGGUUUGUAUCGCAUUUAGUUGGAGAAAAUCAGAAAUAGCUCUUAUCUGAUAAAAUGAAAUAACAAGUUCGAUCUACAUCCCAUCAUAAUUUUCUUGAUAUAAUUAAAUAGAUUACAUGCACAAAUAAUUUUGGGAAUAAUCAAUAUUUUCUUUUCAUGCAUGAUACCUUUUCUCAGUAAUUUCUAAGACAAAUGAGUUCAAAUAGUAGUUUGCAGAUAUUUUGAGUCUUCAUGAUCAUUUAGUUUGAUGUUAUCGAUACCUUAAUCUAUUUUCAAUAAAUUAUAUGGUACUCAUGUAAUCGUUGGAGUUAACAUGGGAGGAAAGAUGUAAUUCAUAUGAAUAUCGUUAUCGAUUAUGCGAUGUAGACAAAAUAGCUUCAUAGCAUCCAUAUGCAUUGUAGCCAAACAAGACAAAGAGGGAUCCGAGUGCAUUCUUUGUUUAUGUGGAAG
rnacentral:lncRNA from 1 species